GUUGUACUCCCUCUGUCCCAUAUUAAGUGACUCAAAGUUGCGCAAAUAUGGAUGUAUCUAUACCCAAAAAGCGUCUAGAUACAUGUAAUAUUUUGUCACUUAUUAUGGGACGGAGGGAGUAGUAG
rfam:Brachypodium distachyon strain Bd21 chromosome 1, whole genome shotgun sequence.